UACGUAGGGUGCAAGCGUUUAAUCGGAAUUACUGGGCGUAAAGCGUGCGCAGGCGGCUUUGCAAGACAGAUGUGAAAUCCCCGGGCUAACCUGGGAACUGCAUUUGUGACUGCAUGGCUGGAGUGCGGCAGAGGGGGAUGGAAUUCCGGCGUGUAGCAGUGAAAUGCGUAGAUAUGCGGAGGAACACCGAUGGCGAAGGCAAUCCCCUGGGCCUGCACUGACGCUCAUGCACGAAAGCGUGGGGAGCAA
rnacentral:rRNA from 1 species